rnacentral:rRNA from 1 species
ACUAUGCCUAGCCAUAACAUUGAUAGAAAAAUACACCCCCUAUCCGCCCGGGUACUACGAGCACUAGCUUGAAACCCAAAGGACUUGGCGGUACUUUAGAUCCCCCUAGAGGAGCCUGUUCUAUAACCGAUGACCCCCGUUCAACCUCACCCUCCCUUGUUUUUCCCGCCUAUAUACCGCCGUCGUCAGCUUACCCCAUGAGGGACCAAUAGUAAGCAAAACUGGCACCGCCCAGAACGUCAGGUCGAGGUGUAGCGUAUGAGAGGGGAAGAAAUGGGCUACAUUUGCUAACGUAGCAAAUACGAACGAUGCACUGAAAACGUUCAUCCGAAGGAGGAUUUAGCAGUAAGUGGGAAAUAGAGUGUCCCGCUGAAAUCGGCUCUGAAGUGCGU